rnacentral:rRNA from 1 species
GGGUUGUGAGGUUAAGCGACUAAGCGUACACGGUGGAUGCCCUGGCAGUCAGAGGCGAUGAAGGGCGUGCUAAUCUGCGAUAAGCGCCGGUAAGGUGAUAUGAACCGUUAUAACCGGCGAUACCCGAAUGGGGAAACCCAGUGUGANNUCGUCACACUAUCAUUAACUGAAUCCAUAGGUUAAUGAGGCGAACCGGGGGAACUGAAACAUCUAAGUACCCCGAGGAAAAGAAAUCAACCGAGAUUCCCCCAGUAGCGGCGAGCGAACGGGGAGGAGCCCAGAGCCUGAAUCAGCAUGUGUGUUAGUGGAAGCGUCUGGAAAGGCGCGCGAUACAGGGUGACAGCCCCGUACACAAAAGCGCAUGUGCUGUGAGCUCGAUGAGUAGGGCGGGACACGUGGUAUCCUGUCUGAAUAUGGGGGGACCAUCCUCCAAGGCUAAAUACUCCUGACUGACCGAUAGUGAACCAGUACCGUGAGGGAAAGGCGAAAAGAACCCCGGCGAGGGGAGUGAAAAAGAACCUGAAACCGUGUACGUACAAGCAGUGGGAGCNNGUGACUGCGUACCUUUUGUAUAAUGGGUCAGCGACUUAUAUUCUGUAGCAAGGUUAACCGAAUAGGGGAGCCGGAGGGAAACCGAGUCUUAAUUGGGCGUUAAGUUGCAGGGUAUAGACCCGAAACCCGGUGAUCUAGCCAUGGGCAGGUUGAAGGUUGGGUAACACUAACUGGAGGACCGAACCGACUAAUGUUGAAAAAUUAGCGGAUGACCUGUGGCUGGGGGUGAAAGGCCAAUCAAACCGGGAGAUAGCUGGUUCUCCCCGAAAGCUAUUUAGGUAGCGCCUCGUGAAUUCAUCUCCGGGGGUAGAGCACUGUUUCGGCUAGGGGGCCAUCCCGGCUUACCAACCCGAUGCAAACUGCGAAUACCGGAGAAUGUUAUCACGGGAGACACACGGCGGGUGCUAACGUCCGUCGUGAAGAGGGAAACAACCCAGACCGCCAGCUAAGGUCCCAAAGUCAUGGUUAAGUGGGAAACGAUGUGGGAAGGCCCAGACAGCCAGGAUGUUGGCUUAGAAGCAGCCAUCAUUUAAAGAAAGCGUAAUAGCUCACUGGUCGAGUCGGCCUGCGCGGAAGAUGUAACGGGGCUAAACCAUGCACCGAAGCUGCGGCAGCGANNNNNNNNNNNNNNNNNNNNNNNNNNNNNNNNNNNNNNNNNNNNNNNNNUGCUGGAGGUAUCAGAAGUGCGAAUGCUGACAUAAGUAACGAUAAAGCGGGUGAAAAGCCCGCUCGCCGGAAGACCAAGGGUUCCUGUCCAACGUUAAUCGGGGCAGGGUGAGUCGACCCCUAAGGCGAGGCCGAAAGGCGUAGUCGAUGGGAAACGGGUUAAUAUUCCCGUACUUGGUGUUACUGCGAAGGGGGGACGGAGAAGGCUAUGUUGGCCGGGCGACGGUUGUCCCGGUUUAAGCGUGUAGGCUGGUUUUCCAGGCAAAUCCGGAAAAUCAAGGCUGAGGCGUGAUGACGAGGCACUACGGUGCUGAAGCAACAAAUGCCCUGCUUCCAGGAAAAGCCUCUAAGCAUCAGGUAACAUCAAAUCGUACCCCAAACCGACACAGGUGGUCAGGUAGAGAAUACCAAGGCGCUUGAGAGAACUCGGGUGAAGGAACUAGGCAAAAUGGUGCCGUAACUUCGGGAGAAGGCACGCUGACACGUAGGUGAAGUGAUUUACUCAUGGAGCUGAAGUCAGUCGAAGAUACCAGCUGGCUGCAACUGUUUAUUAAAAACACAGCACUGUGCAAACACGAAAGUGGACGUAUACGGUGUGACGCCUGCCCGGUGCCGGAAGGUUAAUUGAUGGGGUCAGCGCAAGCGAAGCUCCUGAUCGAAGCCCCGGUAAACGGCGGCCGUAACUAUAACGGUCCUAAGGUAGCGAAAUUCCUUGUCGGGUAAGUUCCGACCUGCACGAAUGGCGUAAUGAUGGCCAGGCUGUCUCCACCCGAGACUCAGUGAAAUUGAACUCGCUGUGAAGAUGCAGUGUACCCGCGGCAAGACGGAAAGACCCCGUGAACCUUUACUAUAGCUUGACACUGAACAUUGAGCCUUGAUGUGUAGGAUAGGUGGGAGGCUUUGAAGUGUGGACGCCAGUCUGCAUGGAGCCGACCUUGAAAUACCACCCUUUAAUGUUUGAUGUUCUAACGUGGACCCGUAAUCCGGGUUGCGGACAGUGUCUGGUGGGUAGUUUGACUGGGGCGGUCUCCUCCUAAAGAGUAACGGAGGAGCACGAAGGUUGGCUAAUCCUGGUCGGACAUCAGGAGGUUAGUGCAAUGGCAUAAGCCAGCUUGACUGCGAGCGUGACGGCGCGAGCAGGUGCGAAAGCAGGUCAUAGUGAUCCGGUGGUUCUGAAUGGAAGGGCCAUCGCUCAACGGAUAAAAGGUACUCCGGGGAUAACAGGCUGAUACCGCCCAAGAGUUCAUAUCGACGGCGGUGUUUGGCACCUCGAUGUCGGCUCAUCACAUCCUGGGGCUGAAGUAGGUCCCAAGGGUAUGGCUGUUCGCCAUUUAAAGUGGUACGCGAGCUGGGUUUAGAACGUCGUGAGACAGUUCGGUCCCUAUCUGCCGUGGGCGCUGGAGAACUGAGGGGGGCUGCUCCUAGUACGAGAGGACCGGAGUGGACGCAUCACUGGUGUUCGGGUUGUCAUGCCAAUGGCACUGCCCGGUAGCUAAAUGCGGAAGAGAUAAGUGCUGAAAGCAUCUAAGCACGAAACUUGCCCCGAGAUGAGUUCUCCCUGAGACUGAGAGUCUCCUGAAGGACCGUUGAAGACGACGACGUUGAUAGGCCGGGUGUGUAAGCGCAGCGAUGCGUUGAGCUAACCGGUACUCAUGAACCGUGAGG